UAUUUUGACUAUACGAAGGUAUUGAAAUAAGAUUUUAAAUGAGUGCUAAGAGAAUGAUUAAACAAUUAAAAGCUUUCUUUAAUUGAAUAAUUGAAUUUAAUUUUUUAGUGCAAAAGCAAAAAUAAAAAUUAGGGACAAGAAGACCCUAUGAAUUUUUAUUAAAUUUUAUAAAACUUUAUAUAAAAUUUAAUUUAAUUGGGGUGAUGGAAAAAGAAUAAAUAUCUUUUUUUUUAAAAAAAAUUGGUUCCGUUUUUAGCGAUUAAAUGAAAAAAAUA
rnacentral:rRNA from 1 species